rnacentral:lncRNA from 1 species
AUGCCAGAAAAGUGUUCUUCCCUUCUUAUUGUUUCCUUUCAUCAGAGAUUUACAUUUGGAAAAAUAAUGGACUAUAGCCAUCCUACUCCCAUCCCUACUGACUGGGGGGUCACCAGGAGGCAUGAAGGGGUGAAGAAAGGACCCUAUUUUGGAUAUUCUCCUUCCACCACCACUCCCUUACCACUCCUAGCCCUUGAGCAUGCACUUCCAAGAACAACAAAGAGGCAAGGGAAGACAGAACAAUGCAAAGGUACACGGGCAGUGGGACAAGUCAGACCUUAGGCUGCAGUGCUGUGUCCCUUUCUUAGGAAUUUGUCCUCUAGCUAGCAGUAACUCUCAAACCGGAAAAUCUGAUGACUGACUGCAUCAUUAUUAUCUAAGUGAAAGGCUCAUUUUUGUAGUGUUUAAUAUUUCUGGUACUUUAUGUAUUGAUUUGCAGUUACUCAUGCUUCCUAAAUAAACAGUUAUAAAACAAAUUGAACACAGUCAGGAGAAAAAGCAGAUAUUCUUGAGAAACCUGAACCACAGCUUUUUUGAAGCCCAGAAUGCUGAUAUUGCUAUAUUUAGUGUCUUAUUUGGUGGGAAAGAACAAACCACUAAACGAUUUCUUCCAGCUUCGAUUGAAUGCUACAUCAAAACAAAAGUAAUUUUACAGAUGACAUUAAAGUAGCCAGAAAGUGAUAUCGUUAUUAUUUACUACCCUUUUGGAGAAUCAGCUGCUUGCUUUUAUGGCUAUAAAGUAUUUUCAAAAAGUAUUUUCUAACCUGGAAGUGCAUUAUGAUAAACACUAGUUGUACUAACUAGUAAUUAUCAUGGAAAAUGACAAGAAUUUUCACACUUUAAAAAAAGUUAUCUCUUUUUUUCUUGAUAUUUGGCAAGGGGUGGGGGGGGAGCAGCCUCAAGACAUGCAAUUUAUUUGUAAUUUGACAGUUUCAUAGUGUAGGACUACUAUACAGUUAGACUGUCUAAUCAGAAAUGUGUAAAAGGUGAAAAAAAAAAGGUAUGUAAAGGUGGGAACAAGACCUGUGAAGUGCUAC